AGGCAUCACUCUAGGCAUUGAGGAUACUCCAGUGAACCACAUACAGGCCCUACCCUUGUGGCAGUUACAUUCUGGAAGGGAGAGGUGGGCAAAAUUUAUAGUAAGUCAGACAGCGAGAAGUGCUAAGGAGAAAAAUAAAGCUGGGAGGGGAAGUGGUUCCCAUUUUAUAAGGAUGAGCAAAGAAAGCAUCACUGAUGAUGUGCUAUUUGAGCAAAGGCCUGAAAGAAGAGAAAGGGCAAGCCACACAUCUGGGGAAGCACAUGCCAGGUGAAGAGCCCUGCAGAAGUCCAUGAUCAGGAACAAGGAGGCCAGUGUGGCUGAAACAGAGUGGGAGAUAAAGAUGAGACAAAGGAGGCUCAGAGGAUUAAGUGACCUGCCCGCAGCAACACGGAGAAGAUGUGGUGGAACCAGGGAUCAAAAAUUUGUCCUCUGUGUAUAUAGCGCCUCAACUUUCCAUCACACUUGCCUUCCUGGUGACCUGAUAUCCCAGGAUUUUCACUUACUGCUCUGGGGACACAUUGGUUAAAUCCAAGUGGUUUGCAGGCACUGACUGGCAACAUAACUGUGGUCAAUAGAAGAAUGAUGUACUGAGUGGUGGUCACUUAGAACCAUGCAUCUGCCACCCCUCGAGGCUGGGCCAUGAAGAAGGCAUGGCUCGGCUGGCACGGUGGCUCACACCUGUAAUUCCAGCAAUUUGGGAGGCCGAGGUAGGCUGAUUGCUUGAGCUUAGGAGUUUAAGACCAGCCUGGGCAUCAUGGCAAAACCCCAUCUCUAUAAAAAAUACAAACAUUAGCCAGGUGGUAUGCACCUGUGAUCCCAGCAACAGCAGGAGGCUGAGGUGGGAGGAUCGCUUGAACCGGGUGUCAGACCUCAGAGCCUAAGCUAAGCCAUCAUAUCCCCAGUGACCUGCUUGUGUACAUCCAGAUGGCCUGAAGCAACUGAAGAUCCACAGAAGUGAAAAUAGCAUUAACUGAUGACAUUCCACCAUUGUGAUUUGUUUCUGCCCCACCCUAACUGAUCAAUGUUCUUGAUAAUUUCCCCCACCCUUAAGAAGUUUCUUUAUAAUUCGCCCCACCCUUGAAUGUACUUUGUGAGAUCCACCCUCUGCCCCAAAAACAUUGCUCUUAACUCCACCUCCUAUCCCAAAACCUAUAAGAACCAAUGGUAAUCCCACAACCCUUUGCUGCCUCCUUUUUUGGACUCAGCCUGCCUGCACCCAGGUGAAAUAAACAGCUAUGCUGCUC
rnacentral:lncRNA from 1 species